rnacentral:rRNA from 1 species
UACGUAGGGGCAAGCGUUGUCCGGAAUCAUUGGGCGUAAAGAGCGCGUAGGCGGCCCUGUAAGUCCGCUGUGAAAGUCAAGGGCUCAACCCUUGAAUGCCGGUGGAUACUGCAGGCUAGAGUCCGGAAGAGGCGAGUGGAAUUCCUGGUGUAGCGGUGAAAUGCGCAGAUAUCAGGAGGAACACCGGUGGCGAAGGCGGGUCUCUGGGCAGUGAA